UUUGGAUUGAAGGGGAGCCUCUA
rnacentral:miRNA from 1 species